CCUGGAGGUGGAUGAGGAAGGACGGGACAAAGAGGAGAGUCAGGAGAAAGUGAAGUUUGGCACUAGAUUAACCAAUGGCACACUGGCCGAAGGAAGCAGAGCACUUGUCUCCCAAAUGCAAAUUCAACUAACUUCCCGACUCAAAUCGCACAGGAGGUUAUGACACAUUAGGGG